rnacentral:rRNA from 1 species
UACGUAGGGGGCGAGCGUUGUCCGGAUUUACUGGGCGUAAAGAGCGCGUAGGCGGAAAUUUAAGCGUGGCCUGAAAGCCCCCGGCUCAACCGGGGAGUGCGGCUGCGAACUGGGUUUCUUGAGGACGAUAGAGGAGAGUGGAAUUCCUGGUGUAGCGGUGAAAUGCGUAGAUAUCACACAGAACACCGAUUGCGAAGGCAGCUCACUAAGCCAAUACUGACGCUGAUGCACGAAAGCGUGGGGAGCAAACAGG